GCCAUGCUGAAACAACUGUAUCAUUCAAAUGUUAUUUUUAAAAGGUUUUAAACCACAUUUUACAUAUCACAAAAAUGCUUUGUGAAUUGCUUGUACAGUUUGCCAAUAAUGGCUGAAUCGGAGGGAAAUGUCCAUCUGAUGUUUAGGACAGUAUUUGAAUUUAUGACCAUUUUUUAAAAAAUCUAGAAGUUUAAGAGAUUUCAGAUUUUAAGAGGCUUGGAAUAGAUGAUGGAUUAUAUCAGUAUACCUAAACCUGUUGAUAAAUUAAGACCCCUGCAGUUGUGUUAAGAAAAAGGAUUAGUUUGUGUGAGAUUAUUUCCUAGUUCGAGAAGUACAAUUUUUUAAAUCAGCUUUUUUUUGUCCAGUUGUUAUACAUAGGUAACGUAAUGAAUGUAGAAUCUCGAAGAAGCCUGCAUGAGAGAGAGAAGUGUUUGUAGGUGACCCCACUGCUGCCUUCUGAGCCCCUCCAGGGAAGAAAAAAUUCCUGACGUUUUUAAAAUACAAGUUUACAGAUGAAGAGAAUAAGAUCAGCUGGCAAUUUGGGAAAGAAGGUGGCGGUAGGGUAAACAUGCCUGGGAUUAUAGCUACUUCACUAUGAUGGAGGAACGACAGGAUAAAAAUGAGAACAUGAAUAUGAACUUGGUCUCACACGCAAUACCCAAGACACCAAGGAGUUUUACAAGGAGACUCCUGAA